UCGCCUCUGCUUCUGUCUGCCUUCUUCCGCCUCUUUUGGUCCUGCUGUCUUCUUCCGCCUCUGCUUCUGCUGCUGCUGGGGGUCGCCUCUGCUUCUGUCUGCCUGACCGGCGUCCUUGGUUUCCUCCAGAGCCCCCGCCUGCUGCUGCUGGGAUAGACUAAAUGCAGUAGGUUAACUGAUCUGGUCCUGUGGCUGGUCAAAUUGUACCAUGAGUAGUCAAAUUAUACCACUUUGGAAUUUCUCAUCUCACCAAUGAGUGUGUCUCCAAGGUUUUCUGCCACAAGAAGAUGAUGCAAGCUUCCGGAUAUUUUUUUUCAAAAAGAGGUACAACAAACUUAAGGGUUCUUCCAUCCAUCUCAGCACUAUUUUAGCUAAUCCUGCAACAAAAAUGCUAAAACAUCCAUCAGUUUUAAUUUAGGUUCAGAGUAUACAACAACAACCAACAAACGUUCAGAGUAUACAACAACAACCAACAAACAACAACCAAGCCUUGUUUGUUGGUUGUUGUUGUAUACUCUGAACCUAAAUUAAAACUGAUGGAUGUUUUAGCAUUUGUGUUGCAGGAUUAGCUAAAAUAGUGCUGAGAUGGAUGUUUUAGCUAAAUUUAGGUUCAGAGUAUGCUAAAACAUAUUUUAGCGGGACAGCUUCAGUUCAGGUUCAUGCAAGAGGACAGCUUUUAACCGAAAUUCGUUGGUGUAAUUUCAGUUAAUUGGAAAGAACAACUCUGCAAGUUAAUUGGAAAGAACAGGAGGACAUAAUUUAUAUGGAAAACUUCUCCUUCUAAGGCAGAUAUUAAUAUUCUUCAAUCCAUAGAAUAUGCCUUCUUUAGCAUCAUAAGCCUCUAAAGAGCACUCGAGCGUACCCUACAUCAUCACGGCUCCUCUUGUACUACAUGGGCUUAUGGUGAUAUUAUGAAAGGUCGCAUCAAAUACUAUCUGAGGCACAUCACAGGUGAAGUCGGCGAGUGUACGAUGUGUGCCAGGACUUGGACAAGUAUUGCUUUUGAUAUUAAUGGGAAAGACAAUGGAGGCUACUUUGC